rnacentral:tRNA from 1 species
CCUGGAGUGGCGGAAUGGCAAACGCAUCAGACUCAAAAUCUGACGGGUUACACCCUUGUGAGUUCAAGUCUCAUCUCCAGGA